rnacentral:rRNA from 1 species
ACAGCUCAGUAACACGUGGAUAACCUGACCUAAGGAAGGGGAUAACUCCGGGAAACUGGGGAUAAUACCCUAUAGGUUACGGGUGCUGGAAUGCCCUGUAACCGAAAGUUCCGACGCCUUAGGAUGGAUCUGCGGCCGAUUAGGUUGUUGUCGGGGUAAUGGCCCAACAAGCCAGUGAUCGGUACGGGUUGUGGGAGCAAGAGCCCGGAGUUGGAUUCUGAGACACGAAUCCAGGCCCUACGGGGCGCAGCAGGCGCGAAAACUUUACAAUGCGGGCAACCGUGAUAAGGGAACCUCGAGUGCCUGUAUAUGCAGGCUGUCCAGGUGUCUAAAACACACCUGAAGAAAGGGCCGGGCAAGACCGGUGCCAGCCGCCGCGGUAAUACCGGCGGCUCGAGUGGUGGCCACUUUUAUUGGGCUUAAAGCGUUCGUAGCUGGGUUGUUAAGUCUCUUGGGAAAUCCGGCAGCUUAACUGUCGGGCGUCUAAGGGAUACUGGUAAUCUUGGAACCGGGAGAGGUGAGGGGUACUUCGGGGGUAGGAGUGAAGUCCUGUAAUCCUCGAGGGACCACCUGUGGCGAAGGCGCCUCACCAGAACGGCUUCGACAGUGAGGGACGAAAGCUGGGGGAGCAAACCGGAUUAGAUACCCGGGUAGUCCCAGCCGUAAACGAUGCGCGUUAGGUGUAUCGGUGACCACGAGUCACCGAGGUGCCGAAGGGAAACCGUGAAACGUGCCGCCUGGGAAGUACGGUCGCAAGGCUGAAACUUAAAGGAAUUGGCGGGGGAGCAC